AGUAGAUUUCAGUCUUGAAGCCUUUUGAAGACACGGCACUGAAAAGUCUGAAAUUCAUGAAAAUCUUGGUUCACUGUAUUCUUAGAAAAAGCAGAUCUGGCUCCCUUGUGCUACCUUAACCUUAUGAUCUUCCAUCACUUUUCUCUGGGUAAUGCUAUCCAAGAAGUUAUCCAGUACUGAGUAACUUCAUCAAGAGGAGGGUUCCUGAAACAGCUGCAGGACUUAGAUAUUGAACUAAGAUACAUACGGUAUACACCUAUGUAAAUUCUUAUGAAAUAGAAGAUCAAAGU